rnacentral:rRNA from 1 species
GUGAGGAAUAUUGCGCAAUGGAGGCAACUCUGACGCAGCCAUGCCGCGUGCAGGAAGAAGGCGCUACGCGUUGUAAACUGCUUUUAACCGGGAAGAAACCCCAGGACGUGUCCUGGGUUGACGGUACCGGAGGAAUAAGCACCGGCUAACUUCGUGCCAGCAGCCGCGGUAAUACGAAGGGUGCAAGCGUUAUCCGGCUUCAUUGGGUUUAAAGGGUGCGUAGGAGGAGCGUUAAGUCAGUGGUGAAAUCCUGCAGCUUAACUGUAGACUUGCCAUUGAUACUGGCGCGCUUGAGUGCGCUUGAAGUGGGCGGAAUGUGCCGUGUAGCGGUGAAAUGCUUAGAUAUGGCACAGAACACCAAUUGCGAAGGCAGCUCACUAAGGCGAUACUGACGCUGAGGCACGAAAGCGUGGGGAUCGAACAGGAUUAGAAACCCGGGUAGUCC